rnacentral:misc_RNA from 1 species
AUUAAACAUUUGAUUUUUUUCAAUAAUUUGCAUAAUUAUAGAUCAUGCUAUAUUGGUAUAUUUCAAAAGCAUUUAUAAUACUAACAAUAAUCAACAUAGAGAAGCAAAUUGAGUCAUUGUCGUCACCUCUUGGCUUUAUAAUACUAACAAUAAUACAUCGUGGCCUUGGCGCCUCGUAGCCUCUUGGCUUCGGGGCAGCUUCCUCUUUGAAGUCGCCUCACCUUGGCCUGGGGAGUCGCAGCAUGCUCGGCUCGGCUCGGCUCGCCUCGCCUCUCUACUCGCCUGGCGUCUCUUCUCGCCUUUUAUAACACUGAAGCAGAUAAGGAAAAAAAUAGAACGUAUUAUGAUUUAAUUAGUAAUUAUGAAAUUCAGAUUUUAUUUAUGUUUUUUCCCUAUUCAAGAAUAUUAUGUAGCUUCCUAUUCAAGAAGUAUAGGACUUGUUAUUUAGGAAUUACCUUAUUUGGAAAGGUAGUUGCUUAAUUGGUAGUAUUGGUUUAGUAUUUUCCUCAUUUGGCAUUACUAAUCCUAAUAGGAUAUUAAGAUGAGGAAUUGCCUGUAGGUUGUUUAAACAUUUAUCUACUUGGUUGUUUUCUUUGGUUUUUGAUUGAUGCAAUAUUGCAGUGUGAGUUAAUUUUCAGUAUUUGGAAUGCACUUUUGCCUUGUGCUUCCCCCCUUUUUCCUGUCUCCUUCUUCCUAUUCAAUUAUUUUCUUUCUUUCAAAUUCAAAGGCUGCCUGUUAUUGAAAUCUGAGUGACAGUUCAAAGCUUGAAAACAGGCACCAAAUUCUUCAUUUUUUCACUGUAAUGAGCUCCAAUUUAACUUCCUAACCUGAAACUCCUUUCUUCUUUUCAUCUAAGUCAUAAAAUACUGCAUUUACUUGAGAUUUUCCCCCCACGGGGGCUUUGUUGGGAAGAUUUUUCAACCUGUCCUACUUCA